rnacentral:rRNA from 1 species
AACGAACGCUGGCGGCAUGCCUAACACAUGCAAGUCGAACGAGACCUUCGGGUCUAGUGGCGCACGGGUGCGUAACGCGUGGGAACCUGCCCUUAGGUUCGGAAUAACUCUCCGAAAGGGGUGCUAAUACCGGAUAAUGUCUUCGGACCAAAGAUUGAUCGCCUUUGGAUGGGCCCGCGUUGGAUUAGCUAGUUGGUAGGGUAAAAGCCUACCAAGGCGACGAUCCAUAGCUGGUCUGAGAGGAUGGUCAGCCACACUGGGACUGGGACGCGGCCCAGACUCCUACGGAAGGCAGCAAUGGGGGAUAGUGGACAACGGGCGAAAGGCUGAAGCAGCAAUGCCGGGUAAGUGAUGAAGGCCUUAGGGUAGUAAAGCUCUUUUACACGGGAUGAUAAUGACAGUACCGGGAGAAUAAGCACCGGCUAACUCCGUG